rnacentral:rRNA from 1 species
UACGGAGGGGGCUAGCGUUGUUCGGAAUUACUGGGCGUAAAGCGCACGUAGGCGGCUUUGUAAGUUAGAGGUGAAAGCCCAGGGCUCAACCCUGGAAUUGCCUUUAAGACUGCAUCGCUUGAACAUCGGAGAGGUAAGUGGAAUUCCGAGUGUAGAGGUGAAAUUCGUAGAUAUUCGGAAGAACACCAGUGGCGAAGGCGACUUGCUGGACGAUUGUUGACGCUGAGGUGCGAAAGCGUGGGGAGCAAACAGG